rnacentral:rRNA from 1 species
AACGAACGCUGGCGGCAUGCCUAACACAUGCAAGUCGAACGAGACCUUCGGGUCUAGUGGCGCACGGGUGCGUAACGCGUGGGAACCUGCCCUUAGGUUCGGAAUAACUCCCCGAAAGGGGUGCUAAUACCGGAUAAUGUCUUCGGACCAAAGAUUUAUCGCCUUUGGUGGGGCCCGCGUUGGAUUAGCUAGUUGGUAGGGUAAAAGCCUACCAAGGCGACGAUCCAUAGCUGGUCUGAGAGGAUGAUCAGCCACACUGGGACUGAGACACGGCCCAGACUCCUACGGGAGGCAGCAGUGGGGAAUAUUGGACAAUGGGCGAAAGCCUGAUCCAGCAAUGCCGCGUGAGUGAUGAAGGCCUUAGGGUUGUAAAGCUCUUUUACCCGGGAUGAUAAUGACAGUACCGGGAGAAUAAGCUCCGGCUAACUCCGUG